rnacentral:tRNA from 1 species
AUUUAAGUAGUUUAAAGAAAAAUUUCGAUUUGUGGUGUCGAAGAUAUAGUAGUAUCUUAAAU